ensembl:miRNA gga-mir-1451 gga-mir-1451
CAGAGCAAGCGCAGGAGCUGCUGCCUCGCACAGGAGCAAGUUACCGCGUUCAGCUCGCCUGCCGUAACUCGCUGCUGUGAGAGGCAGCGGCUCCUGGCUCUCCCUGCUCC